UACGUAGGGCGCAAGCGUUGUCCGGAAUUAUUGGGCGUAAAGAGCUCGUAGGUGGCGUGUCGCGUCUGCCGUGAAAGCCCAUGGCUUAACUGUGGGUCUGCGGUGGAUACGGGCAGGCUGGAGGCUGGUAGGGGCAAGCGGAAUUCCUGGUGUAGCGGUGAAAUGCGCAGAUAUCAGGAGGAACACCGGUGGCGAAGGCAGCUCUCUGGGACGGUACUGACGCUGAGACGCGAAAGCGUGGGGAGCGAACAGG
rnacentral:rRNA from 1 species